UUAGUGAGGUCUCCGAAUUGGCUUUGAGAACCCGGCAACGGGCUCUUGUUGCUGAGAAGCUGAUCAAACUUGGUCAUUUAGAGGAAGUAAAAGUCGUAACAAGGUU
rnacentral:rRNA from 1 species